GACGAACGCUGGCGGCGUGCCUAAUACAUGCAAGUAGAACGCUGAAGAGAGGAGCUUGCUCUUCUUGGAUGAGUUGCGAAUGGGUGAGUAACGCGUAGGUAACCUGCCUUGUAGCGGGGGAUAACUAUUGGAAACGAUAGCUAAUACCGCAUAACAAUGGAUGACACAUGUCAUUUAUUUGAAAGGGGCAAUUGUUCCACUACAAGAUGGACCUGCGUUGUAUUAGCUAGUAGGUGAGGUAAUGGCUCACCUAGGCGACGAUACAUAGCCGACCUGAGAGGGUGAUCGGCCACACUGGGACUGAGACACGGCCCAGACUCCUACGGGAGGCAGCAGUAGGGAAUCUUCGGCAAUGGGGGCAACCCUGACCGAGCAACGCCGCGUGAGUGAAGAAGGUUUUCGGAUCGUAAAGCUCUGUUGUAAGUCAAGAACGGGUGUGAGAGUGGAAAGUUCACACUGUGACGGUAGCUUACCAGAAAGGGACGGCUAACUACGUG
rnacentral:rRNA from 1 species